rnacentral:rRNA from 1 species
AACGCUGGCGGCGUUGCUUAACACACGCAAGUUCGAACGGUGAAGCGCUCUUUCCUUUUUCGGCGGGCGUCGGACGAGCGGCGAACGGGUGAGUAACACGUGAGUAACCUGCCCCCUUCUUCUGGAUAACCGCAUGAAAGUGUGGCUAAUACGGGAUAUUCUGUGCCUGCUGCAUGGUGGGUGUGGGAAAGAUUGCGCCUUUUGGGUCGUUUUUGGUGGGGGAUGGGCUCGCGGCCUAUCAGCUUGUUGGUGGGGUGAUGGCCUACCAAGGCGGUGACGGGUAGCCGGCCUGAGAGGGUGGACGGUCACACUGGGACUGAGACACGGCCCAGACUCCUACGGGAGGCAGCAGUGGGGAAUAUUGCACAAUGGGCGCAAGCCUGAUGCAGCGACGCCGCGUGAGGGAUGGAGGCCUUCGGGUUGUGAACCUCUUUCGCCAGUGAAGCAGGCCUGCUCCUUGGUGGGUGGGUUGACGGUAGCUGGAUAAGAAGCGCCGGCUAACUACGUGCCAGCAGCCGCGGUAAUACGUAGGGCGCGAGCGUUGUCCGGAAUUAUUGGGCGUAAAGAGCUCGUAGGCGGCUGGUCGCGUCUGUCGUGAAAUCCUCUGGCUUAACUGGGGGCUUGCGGGUGGGUACGGGCCGGCUUGAGUGCGGUAGGGGAGGCUGGAACUCCUGGUGUAGCGGUGGAAUGCGCAGAUAUCAGGAAGAACACCGGUGGCGAAGGCGGGUCUCUGGGCCGUUACUGACGCUGAGGAGCGAAAGCGUGGGGAGCGAACAGGAUUAGAUACCCUGGUAGUCCACGCCGUAAACGUUGGGCACUAGGUGUGGGGGGCCUUUUCCGGGUUUUCCGCGCCGUAGCUAACGCAUUAAGUGCCCCGCCUGGGGAGUACGGCCGCAAGGCUAAAACUCAAAGGAAUUGACGGGGGCCCGCACAAGCGGCGGAGCAUGCGGAUUAAUUCGAUGCAACGCGAAGAACCUUACCAAGGCUUGACAUGUGCCGGUCGGCUCCGGAGACGGGGUUUCCUCCUUGUGGGGCCGGUUCACAGGUGGUGCAUGGUUGUCGUCAGCUCGUGUCGUGAGAUGUUGGGUUAAGUCCCGCAACGAGCGCAACCCUUGUCUCGUGUUGCCAGCACGUUGUGGUGGGGACUCGCGGGAGACUGCCGGGGUCAACUCGGAGGAAGGUGGGGAUGACGUCAAAUCAUCAUGCCCCUUAUGUCUUGGGCUUCACGCAUGCUACAAUGGCCGGUACAGAGGGCUGCGAUACCGUGAGGUGGAGCGAAUCCCUUAAAGCCGGUCUCAGUUCGGAUCGGUGUCUGCAAACUCGACACCGUGAAAGUUGGAGUCGCUAGUAAUCGCAGAAUCAGCAAACGCUGCGGUGAAAUACGUUUCUCGGGCCUUGUACACACCGCCC